GACGGAGGAUGCAAGCGUUAUCCGGAAUGAUUGGGCGUAAAGCGUCCGCAGGUGGCAGUUCAAGUCUGCUGUCAAAGACCGGGGCUUAACUUCGGAAAGGCAGUGGAAACUGAACAGCUAGAGUAUGGUAGGGGCAGAGGGAAUUCCUGGUGUAGCGGUGAAAUGCGUAGAGAUCAGGAAGAACAUCGGUGGCGAAGACGCUCUGCUGGACCAUAACUGACACUCAGGGACGAAAGCUAGGGGAGCGAAUGGG
rnacentral:rRNA from 1 species